rnacentral:ncRNA from 1 species
ACAGGUGCCUGUGUUUCAUUCCACAGGAGAAUAGGGAAGAGAGGUGAGAUUCCUCCGCGGUCACGCCGCUGUGUAUGCUGAGCCAGCUUUCAUGUUGUCACUGGAUUUUUAUCCGGGAAGACGAAAGCCGGCGGUGAAGCUGAGCCAGAAGACCUGCCUGAACGU